rnacentral:rRNA from 1 species
UGAGGAAUAUUGGUCAAUGGGCGAGAGCCUGAACCAGCCAAGUAGCGUGCAGGAUGACGGCCCUAUGGGUUGUAAACUGCUUUUAUAAGGGAAUAAAGUGAGCCUCGUGAGGCUUUUUGCAUGUACCUUAUGAAUAAGGACCGGCUAAUUCCGUGCCAGCAGCCGCGGUAAUACGGAAGGUCCGGGCGUUAUCCGGAUUUAUUGGGUUUAAAGGGAGCGUAGGCCGGAGAUUAAGCGUGUUGUGAAAUGUAGGCGCUCAACGUCUGCACUGCAGCGCGAACUGGUUUCCUUGAGUACGCACAAAGUGGGCGGAAUUCGUGGUGUAGCGGUGAAAUGCUUAGAUAUCACGAAGAACUCCGAUUGCGAAGGCAGCUCACUGGAGCGCAACUGACGCUGAAGCUCGAAAGUGCGGGUAUCGAACAGGAUUAGAUACCCUGGUAGUCCGCACGGUAAACGAUGGAUGCCCGCUGUUGGUCUGAACAGGUCAGCGGCCAAGCGAAAGCAUUAAGCAUCCCACCUGGGGAGUACGCCGGCAACGGUGAAACUCAAAGGAAUUGACGGGGGCCCGCACAAGCGGAGGAACAUGUGGUUUAAUUCGAUGAUACGCGAGGAACCUUACCCGGGCUUGAAUUGCAGAGGAAGGAUUUGGAGACAAUGACGCCCUUCGGGGUCUCUGUGAAGGUGCUGCAUGGUUGUCGUCAGCUCGUGCCGUGAGGUGUCGGCUUAAGUGCCAUAACGAGCGCAACCCCUCUCCUUAGUUGCCAUCAGGUCAAGCUGGGCACUCUGGGGACACUGCCACCGUAAGGUGUGAGGAAGGUGGGGAUGACGUCAAAUCAGCACGGCCCUUACGUCCGGGGCUACACACGUGUUACAAUGGCAGGUACAGAGAGAUGGUGUUCUGCAAAGCGCAUCAAAUCCUUAAAGCCUGUCUCAGUUCGGACUGGGGUCUGCAACCCGACCCCACGAAGCUGGAUUCGCUAGUAAUCGCGCAUCAGCCAUGGCGCGGUGAAUACGUUCCC